rnacentral:pre_miRNA from 1 species
AGUGGGAUAGCUGGGUCAAAUGCUGGUUCCAUUCCCAGUUUUUCAAGGAAUCUCCAUACUGCUUACCAGAUUGGCCGCACUAAUUUGCAGUCCCACCAGCAGU